rnacentral:rRNA from 1 species
UACAGAGGUCUCAACCGUUGUUCGGAUUCAUUGGGCGUAAAGGGUGCGUAGGCGGUCGCGCAAGUCGGAUGUGAAAUCUCAGGGCUCAACCCUGAAACUGCAUUCGAUACUGCGUGGCUAGAGUACGGUAGAGGGGGAUGGAAUUCCGCGUGUAGCAGUGAAAUGCGUAGAUAUGCGGAGGAACACCGAUGGCGAAGGCAAUCCCCUGGACCUGUACUGACGCUCAUGCACGAAAGCGCGGGGACAAACAGG